CGUUUCCCCUGCAUCGGCAGGCGGACUCUCAACCACUGCGCCACCAGGGAAGCCCAAUUCCAUGGAUUUUGAUGGGAGAGGCAUGAUGGAGUAUGGCAAGGAGAAGGGACUCUCUACCACUCAGACCAAGAAUUCCCCUGAAACAGGAGUGGCCCCAGAGAACUGAAGCCAGAAACAGGGCAGGAGCAGGGAAGCAACACAGGGUCUCCUGGCCUGGAGGAGGAGAGCAGUGUGUCCAGACAGUCUUGAGAUGGGACCUGUGACAGCAAUGACACCGGCCAGCCUGAUGGUGCCAGCCUCUCUGCCAAACACCUCACCUGCAUUUGCUCAUUUAAUCCCCAUCAAUAUUUAUUUAUGAGGUAGGUACUGUUACCUAGCGUUUUACAGAUGAGGAAACCAGUUAACUUUCAGAGCCAGGACUGAAUCUAGACCUUUGGGCUCUAAGCUCCGGGUUCAUUUCAAGACACACAGCCUAUUAAAUCCUUGUUUGAGAGAUCAGGGCACACGAAGAUGUCAAGGCUCUAAGGUGCAGCGUAGGGAAUGUUUUGGAAAAAGUUUGGCUCCUCCUGGAUGUGUUGUGCCUCCUGGCUCUUCUCUGGGCACCAAGAGAGGAGGGGGAGGAGAGAGGAGAGGA